rnacentral:rRNA from 1 species
UACGUAGGGGGCGAGCGUUGUCCGGAUUUAUUGGGCGUAAAGAGCUCGUAGGCGGUUGGGUAAGUCGGGUGUGAAAACUCAGGGCUCAACUCUGAGACGCCACUCGAUACUGCCCUGACUCGAGUCCGGUAGGGGAGCGUGGAAUUCCAGGUGUAGCGGUGAAAUGCGCAGAUAUCGGGAGGAACACCAGUGGCGAAGGCGGCGCUCUGGGCCGGAACUGACGCUGAGGAGCGAAAGCGUGGGUAGCAAACAGG